UUUGACAGCUAUAACAAUGCAUUGAUAUAAAAGUAAGAUAUGACGAUAUAGUUAUACUUGAGAUCUUGUUAAUGCACUUACACCUAGAUAAGAUCUUAUUAAUGCACAGAGUUUUGGGAUAUGAGAUUAUUCUAAUGAGAACACAAUGGAAAUGCUCUAGUGUCUCUUGUAAUUUUUGUUGUUGUUCGGUCUAACUGUCUAAGUCUUCACAUUAAAAUUAAUUAAUUAUUUUGAUAUUUUUUUCGCAGUUCUUUGGUCAAUUCUUGAAUUGCUUAUGUUUACAAAAUUGUUUUGUUCAAAGUUCAAACCUAAACAUUAGGUAAUAUUUAACAAAAAAUAUAUAUUUUCGUAUAUUUAUGGACUCAAUGUAAUAAAUAUUUGAUAUCUAUUAAAUGAGAUUUUUACUCAUAUAAUUUGAUGAUUAUUUGUAUCUUCUUGUAACAAAAAAUUUAAACUAUUGAUCACAAUAAUUUUAAUGUGGAGCCUUUAAUAUUUUAGUAAUUUAUAAUCAUUAAAAUUUAAAAUACACAUAUACAAAAAAACCAAUUUUAUUAUAUAAUUAAUAUAAUUGUUUAAUUUAUUUAAUAAUAUAAAUUAAAAAAUUUGAUUGAAGAUAUACAAAUUGUUAACAAAUCAUUCUUUUUAUCAUUAAUUCUCAUAUUUAUUGAAAAUCACAUUAGAUAGUUAUGUGACUUUUAUUUAAGAAAAGAUGAAGUAGAUUUUCUUGUAACAUUUGAGUCAUGAGUAGUCCACUUUAUUCUAUAUUAUGACAGUUAAGAGCAUCAGUUGAAAAGAAUUAUAAUGUUAACACAUACACAUUGUAAUCAAUGUUACAACUUAAAAGAUGAUUCUCAAUUAAUAUAUAAAAGAUAAUUAAGAAUGUUCCACUUUACUAUAUAUUUUGACAGUUGAGAACAUCAGAUUGAAAAAAAAUUGUAAUGUUGACAAAUAAGCAUUGUAAUCAAUGUUAUAACUUAAAAGAUAAUUCUCAAUUAAUAUAUAAGAGAUUUUCUGUAUUUGUUGUUGACUAAAUAUACUUUUAAAACUAAAAGAAUUUUUUUUUGUUAUAUUUGACAAAGAAAAUACUUAUUUGUAUGUUUGUGUUCUUAUAUGUAAUCAGAAUGUGUGAAGAAAAAUCAUAAGAAGCAAAAGAGAAUAACUGAAAAACAAUCCAAAAAUUUAGAGAAAAAAUAAAAAUGGCUACUACAAGGAAGACUUUAAUCACAUUGGUUUUUACUAUCCUUUUUCUCGAAUCUUCUUUUCAUUGUCGUUCUAUAGCUAGCGCUCUUACUCCAGAUAAUGGUUAUGGAGAAAUUAAGUCAGAGAUUUGCUUCACCGUCUUGUCACCGUGUAAUUGGCGACAUCCCGAUGGGGAAGCAAUGUGCAAUGACUAUUGUAGGAGAGAUAAAAACAAAUCCGGACAUUGUAAUGCUCAUUCUCAAUGUUGUUGUGUUUUUUAAGUACGUGUCCAAGAUGAAAUCAUCUUAUCAUAAGUUUUUAAAUAUCUAUAACAGAAGAUCUAAAAUAAAAUAAACAAUAUUUACCAGAUUGAAGUUAGUUUGCUUAAACUUGAGUAAUAUUUAUUGUAAAUGAAGAAAAUUAAAACUAUAUGAGAAUCAUAAGAUUUUGAGUACAUUGUAAAUACAAAGAUAUUCAAUCUUUCCUAAUGAAACCAACACUUUAUGUUUUUUGUCACCAUCAAGAGAUUAUAUAUAUGCUCAAACCUAACCAGUGUAGUCCAACAAGAAACAUGCAUCCACAAAAGAGAGAACAUGUAAAUAUAUACAUACAGUAGCUAAAAGAAAAUAUUUUAAUGAAAGUCAAAACUCUGUUCUUCAUUGAAGUCUGAACUUCUUCAGCUUUUGCCUAAGAGCCUCGAUUGCAUUCUGUAUCCUGUUGCUUUCUCUACUCCUCACUUCCAGAGACGCCUCACGCAAGUUUUGAAUCCCUCGACCUAAUUUUGCAAUGGAAGGAGCUGAAGGAAGAGACACAGCAGCACAUUCUAUCCCAUAUCCAUAGAGAAGCAGUCCUGCACAAGUUGAAAGACUGGCUCCAAACAUUGCCAAUGGCAAGGCACCGAUUGGUUUUGCUCUUCUUUACCUCAUUAUCUCAUAGAGUGCAGCUCUCAUGGCAGAGAAGCUAGUAUUCUCAGCUGAAGCUAUAAUACUAUGCGUCACUGCUCUGAUCUUCUAAGCUGACAAAGAAGCUUUCACCAAAGAAGUUGAUUUUUCUCCAGAGCUAGCAAAACAGGAGCAAGAGCUGGUCUUGAAAUUUUGGGACCCUAUUUGAAAAAUAUAUAUAUAUAUAUAUAUAAAAUAUUAUAACAUUUUUUUUUAAUCAAACUUGGCUUUCAUUCCCAUUAUAGAAAAAUCAAAGAAGAAUUUUAGUAACCAAAAAAUAAUAUUUUCCUUAUAUUAGUAGUUUAUUAUAAAAUUUAUUCAUAUAUAAAUUAUAUAACCUAAAAUCUGCUUGAUAUAUUAUUAUUAUUCUUAUAAACUGUUUUUUUUUUUGGAGAAAUUCUUAUAAACUGUUUUUACUUUGAUUUAUUAUAUAUUUAACACUUAUAACUAUAAUUACCUAUAUACAUAUAUAAUGAUUUUUAAAAAAUUAGGGGCCCCACAAAAUGGGAGCCCCAUUCAAAUGUUUCACUUUCCUUCCCUCGGCCCCGGCUCUGACAGGAGCCAUCACUUUUGAGGGAUACGCCACUUUGGUAAUGCAUAUGCCAUUGCGUUGUGGGUAUGUGUCAAGAAGAGGUUCAGUGAAGCUGGGACUUUGAAAGUUAUAAUCUUGAAGAAAGGAGAAGCAGAGAUGGCCUUGGACAGUGAUGAAGCACCAACCGCUACUACUAGUUUAUUAGAUAACAGACGUUUUAACUUUGAGUCAUUACUGCUCUCUUCGUUAUCAAAAUCCUAUACCAUAUGCUCAGACAAAUCUUUGACUUCUUGAGGAACACAAGUCUUCCAGUGCUUCCUAAGACCUGCGUGGUUACUUGCAUCUACCACUGCUACUAUGCUCUUAAACCUUUUAGCCUGGCUACGAAGAAGAUCUGCCCUAACUGCAUAUGAUUUGUCCUAAGAAGAGAGCUCUGAAACAUCUAUUUGUUAGUUUUAUAAAAGAUUGCAUAUACUUUUUCUAUAACAAUACAUUGGUAUAAAAGGACAUGACUAUAUAUACCUCUAUAUUUAGGAGAAAUUGCUUAAAAUACCAAUAGUUGAAUACUAUUUUUCAAAAAUACACUCUAUUAUUUUUAAAGGUUUAGUAUUUAGUGGUGGGAUUGUGUAUUAAUGUUUUAUAAAUUAUUUUUUAACUUUUAUUAAUGAUUUAGAGGAGUUACUUUAGUUUUUUCUUCACAAAUUUAAUGUAUUUAUGAAAAUAAUUAUCAUUUAAGUCAAAUUUGAAAAUAGUAUCAAAUUUUUGGUAAAACUGAAAAUUUUCCAAAUUUGAGAUAUUGUUGACACCUUACACCUAGAUAAGAUCUUAUUAAUCCACUUAGAGUUUUGUGGCAUGAGAUUAUUUUAAUGAGAACAUAGUGGAAAUGCUCUACUGUCUCUUGUAUUUUUUUGUUGUUGUUUGGUAUAACCGUUUAAAUCUUCACAAUAAAAUUUUAAUUAUCUAUUAUAAUAUUUUUGGCAGUCCUUUAGUCAAUUCUUGGACUGUGCUUAUGUUUACCAAAUUGGUAUCUGAUGCAGAUAGAUGUUAAUUUGGCUAUACUCCAAAUAUCAUAAUUAUCUAGUUUAUUAUUUGUUUUGGUAUUGAUAUUAAUUAGUUAGAAUUAUUUUAAUUAUUUUUAAUAGUUUAUAGGUUAUUUGGUUUUCGCAUAAACAGGCUUAGAGUUGUAUUAAGUUUAUGAUUUGAUUAACAAAAGUUAAAAAAAUUUCUUUAUUCCUUGUUUUCGGCUAAAACAUUGUUGUUCUCAACGAAGUUAAGAAGACAUUGAUUUUAGGUAUUCUUAGACUAAAUAAGAUCAUUGUGUUAUUGUAGCUUCUGCUACAUCAGUAUCACAUAACUGUUCAAAGUUCAAAUCUAAUAAGCAAUAACCUGCGCUCGGGCGGAAUGAAAUAUUUUAAAUAUUAAUAAAAAUCUAGAUCUUUUUGUAUAUUUAUGGACUAAAGAUAAGAAAUAUCUAAUAUCUAUUAAGUGAGAUUUUCUAUUUAUAUAUGUUAUGAUUAUUUAUGUUUUUCAAAAUUUUAAUAUAUUGAUAAAAAAUUAAUGUGGAAUUUUUAAUAUUUUCAGUAAUUUAUAAUCAUUUUAAAAAUUCAAAAAAAACCCCAAUUUUUAAUUAAAUAAUCAUUGUUUUUUUAAUAAUAUAAAUUAAACAAAAUGACAGAGAAUAUACAAAUUGUUAUCAAAUCUUUAUUAUUUAGCAGCAUUAAUUGUCAUCACCAUAGCUUUAUUUAAAAGAAUAAGGAAGUAUAUUUUUUUGAAUAUUUAAUUAAUAAAUGGUUCACUUUAUUAUAUUCAAUAACAGUUUUGUAAUAUUCUAGUAACUUAAGUAUUUUUAAUAUGAACUUUGAAAAUAAUUGUAAUGUUGACAUAUAAGCAUUGGAAUUAAUGUUACAACUUAAAAGAUGAUUUUCAAAUAAUAUAUAAGAGAUUUUCUGUAUUUUCUGUUUGACCAUAUAUAUUUAUGGAAAAAAGAGAGUUUUUCUUUUCAUAUUUGACUAAGAAAAUACUUCUUAAACUGUAUGUCUGUGUUCUUAUAUAUAAUCAGAAUGUGUGAAGAAAAAUCGUAAGAAGUUAAAGAGAAUAUCUUAAACACAAUCCAAAAAUUUAGAGAUAAAAAAUGACUAUCACAAUGAAGACUUUAAUCACAUUUGUUUUUACUAUUCUUUUCCUAGGAUUUUCUGUUCAUUGUCGUACUAUAACGAGCGCUGUUACUCCUGGUUAUGGAGAAUUAAAUACGGACAUUUGCUUCACCGUCUUGUCACCGUGUAAUUGGCGAUAUCCCCAUGGGGAAGAAAUGUGCGACGGCGGUUGUAGGAGAGAUCACAAAAGGUCCGGAUAUUGUGAUACUCAUGGAAGAUGUUGUUGUGUUUUUUAAGUAUGUGUCCAAGAUGAAAUCAUCUUAUCAUAUGUUUUAAAAAUUAUAUAACAGAAGAUCUAGAAUAAAAUAAAAAUAUUUACCAGAUUGAUAUUAGUUUGCUUAAAUUUGAGUAAUAUCUCCUAUAUAUUAAAAGAGAAACAUUAGAACA